ACCCGCUGAACUUAAGCAUAUCAAUAAGCGGAGGAAAAGAAACUAACAAGGAUUCCCCUAGUAAUGGCGAAUGAAGCGGGAAAAGCUCAAAUUUGAAAUCUGGCCGUUCUGCGGUCCGAGUUGUAAUUUCAAGAAGCGUCUUCGGAUGCGGCCCGGGUUUAAGUUCCUUGGAACAGGACGUCAUAGAGGGUGAGAACCCCGUCUUUGGCCCGGUGACCGUAUUCAUGUGAAGCGUUUUCGAAGAGUCGAGUUGUUUGGGAAUGCAGCUCUAAAUGGGUGGUAAAUUCCAUCUAAAGCUAAAUAUUGGUGGGAGACCGAUAGCGAACAAGUAGAGUGAUCGAAAGGUGAAAAGAACUUUGAAAAGAGAGUUAAACAGUACGUGAAAUUGUUGAAAGGGAAGCGCUUGAAGUCAGACUCGCCUGCUUCGGAUCAGCCUAGCUUUUGUUGGGUGCACUCCGGAGUUUGGCGGGCCAGCAUCAGUUUUGGAAGUCGGAUAAAGGUCUUGGGAACGUAGCUCUCUUCGGGGAGUGUUAUAGCCCAGGACGCAAUGCGACAAUCCGGGACUGAGGACCGCGGCUUUUGCCUAGGAUGCUGGCUUAAUGGCUUUAAGCGACCCGUCUUGAAACACGG
rnacentral:rRNA from 1 species